rnacentral:lncRNA from 1 species
AGAGGGCUUGAUUUCAAGUGACAGUGGUGACAUUUUCAGCAAUGACCCCCGAGUGCGGCAGAGUCUGCCAUAUGAUACUGCUGCCCCAAAGGCAUGGGCACCACCUUCCUCUCUCUGGGAAGAGGUGGGAAUUUGGAUGAGUGGUGAGGCACCGACCCAGCAGAGCCCUGAAUAACAUCUGGCUCUGCACACAGUGCCACUGCCAGCAGCUUUCCUGCACCAGCCGUGAGCCAGUUACUUUCUUCCCACGACUCACAAUCAUAUCUUUGUUUUGUUUAGGCUUGAGAGUCUUUUCACCAUGGUCACAGACUACCCAAGGAAAGGAAUGAGAUUUCUCUUGCUCCUCCCCAGGACCCUGCCAGGCUGUGCCUAUGACCACUUAAAAGCUGCGAUGAGUUCCUCUUGUUUUGCAAAAAGGAAAGUGACUUAAGAAAGACUGAGAGCAGCAAUAACACCUACGGAGCUCUCAAGACACCUGAAGAACUACUUUGAUGCAUCUGGUCCCUGCGGUA